rnacentral:rRNA from 1 species
AGUGAACGCUGGCGGUAGGCCUAACACAUGCAAGUCGAACGGCAGCACAGUAAGAGCUUGCUCUUACGGGUGGCGAGUGGCGGACGGGUGAGGAAUACAUCGGAAUCUACUUUUUCGUUGGGGAUAACGUAGGGAAACUUACGCUAAUACCUCAUACGACCUACGGGUGAAAGCAGGGGAUCUUCGGACCUUGCGCGAUUGAAUGAGCCGAUGUCGGAUUAGCUAGUUGGCGGGGUAAAGGCCCACCAAGGCGACGAUCCGUAGCUGGUCUGAGAGGAUGAUCAGCCACACUGGAACUGAGACACGGUCCAGACUCCUACGGGAGGCAGCAGUGGGGAAUAUUGGACAAUGGGCGCAAGCCUGAUCCAGCCAUACCGCGUGCGUGAAGAAGGCCUUCGGGUUGUAAAGCCCUUUUGUUGGGAAAGAAAAGCAGCAGGUUAAUACCCCGCUGUUCUGACGGUACCCAAAGAAUAAGCACCGGCUAACUUCGUG